rnacentral:rRNA from 1 species
AGGCGUGUGACUGCGUACCUUUUGUAUAAUGGGUCAGCGACUUAUAUUCUGUAGCAAGGUUAACCGAAUAGGGGAGCCGAAGGGAAACCGAGUCUUAACUGGGCGUUAAGUUGCAGGGUAUAGACCCGAAACCCGGUGAUCUAGCCAUGGGCAGGUUGAAGGUUGGGUAACACUAACUGGAGGACCGAACCGACUAAUGUUGAAAAAUUAGCGGAUGACUUGUGGCUGGGGGUGAAAGGCCAAUCAAACCGGGAGAUAGCUGGUUCUCCCCGAAAGCUAUUUAGGUAGCGCCUCGUGAACUCAUCUCCGGGGGUAGAGCACUGUUUCGGCAAGGGGGUCAUCCCGACUUACCAACCCGAUGCAAACUGCGAAUACCGGAGAAUGUUAUCACGGGAGACACACGGCGGGUGCUAACGUCCGUCGUGAAGAGGGAAACAACCCAGACCGCCAGCUAAGGUCCCAAAGUCAUGGUUAAGUGGGAAACGAUGUGGGAAGGCCCAGACAGCCAGGAUGUUGGCUUAGAAGCAGCCAUCAUUUAAAGAAAGCGUAAUAGCUCACUGGUCGAGUCGGCCUGCGCGGAAGAUGUAACGGGGCUAAACCAUGCACCGAAGCUGCGGCAGCGACACUAUGUGUUGUUGGGUAGGGGAGCGUUCUGUAAGCCUGUGAAGGUGUGCUGUGAGGCAUGCUGGAGGUAUCAGAAGUGCGAAUGCUGACAUAAGUAACGAUAAAGCGGGUGAAAAGCCCGCUCGCCGGAAGACCAAGGGUUCCUGUCCAACGUUAAUCGGGGCAGGGUGAGUCGACCCCUAAGGCGAGGCCGAAAGGCGUAGUCGAUGGGAAACAGGUUAAUAUUCCUGUACUUGGUGUUACUGCGAAGGGGGGACGGAGAAGGCUAUGUUGGCCGGGCGACGGUUGUCCCGGUUUAAGCGUGUAGGCUGGUUUUCCAGGCAAAUCCGGAAAAUCAAGGCUGAGGCGUGAUGACGAGGCACUACGGUGCUGAAGCAACAAAUGCCCUGCUUCCAGGAAAAGCCUCUAAGCAUCAGGUAACAUCAAAUCGUACCCCAAACCGACACAGGUGGUCAGGUAGAGAAUACCAAGGCGCUUGAGAGAACUCGGGUGAAGGAACUAGGCAAAAUGGUGCCGUAACUUCGGGAGAAGGCACGCUGAUAUGUAGGUGAAGCGACUUGCUCGUGGAGCUGAAAUCAGUCGAAGAUACCAGCUGGCUGCAACUGUUUAUUAAAAACACAGCACUGUGCAAACACGAAAGUGGACGUAUACGGUGUGACGCCUGCCCGGUGCCGGAAGGUUAAUUGAUGGGGUUAGCGCAAGCGAAGCUCUUGAUCGAAGCCCCGGUAAACGGCGGCCGUAACUAUAACGGUCCUAAGGUAGCGAAAUUCCUUGUCGGGUAAGUUCCGACCUGCACGAAUGGCGUAAUGAUGGCCAGGCUGUCUCCACCCGAGACUCAGUGAAAUUGAACUCGCUGUGAAGAUGCAGUGUACCCGCGGCAAGACGGAAAGACCCCGUGAACCUUUACUAUAGCUUGACACUGAACAUUGAGCCUUGAUGUGUAGGAUAGGUGGGAGGCUU